rnacentral:rRNA from 1 species
GUCGAGCGGCAGCGACUUAACUGAACCUUCGGGGAACGUUAAGGGCGGCGAGCGGCGGACGGGUGAGUAAUGCCUGGGAAUAUGCCCUGAUGUGGGGGAUAACUAUUGGAAACGAUAGCUAAUACCGCAUAAUCUCUUCGGAGCAAAGAGGGGGACCUUCGGGCCUCUCGCGUCAGGAUUAGCCCAGGUGGGAUUAGCUUGUUGGUGAGGUAAUGGCUCACCAAGGCAACGAUCCCUAGCUGGUCUGAGAGGAUGAUCAGCCACACUGGAACUGAGACACGGUCCAGACUCCUACGGGAGGCAGCAGUGGGGAAUAUUGCACAAUGGGGGAAACCCUGAUGCAGCCAUGCCGCGUGUGUGAAGAAGGCCUUCGGGUUGUAAAGCACUUUCAGUAGGGAGGAAGGUAGUGUAGUUAACACCUGCACUAUUUGACGUUACCUACAGAAGAAGCACCGGCUAACUCCGUGCCAGCAGCCGCGGUAAUACGGAGGGUGCGAGCGUUAAUCGGAAUUACUGGGCGUAAAGCGCAUGCAGGCGGCCUGUUAAGUCAGAUGUGAAAGCCCGGGGCUUAACCUCGGAAUUGCAUUUGAAACUGGCAGGCUAGAGUCUUGUAGAGGGGGGUAGAAUUUCAGGUGUAGCGGUGAAAUGCGU